UUUAAAGGUAAAAGGCAUGCAAUAUUUAAGCUCUAGUCUCCACAUACGCUCCAAUGUACAUACUUCUGUUUUAAUGUGUGUGCGUAUAGCAUUGGCUGUAGGCGACAAAAGGCAAAAAGCUAUGUGUAGUCCAACAUUUGACUGACGGCCUGACAGAGUUUGGAAAAGUGAGUGCGUGUUUGACUGACAGACCGAUGAAACAAAACAGCUAAUAGUAUAGAGAUACGUAUGCAUAGAAUUGCAGCAAUGUUGCAUGUGGUCUUUAUAGUAUAGGAAUAUGCAUGGAUGGAUGGCUAAGCGGAAAAUGCUGAAAUUGACUGAAGACGAUCAGUAUUAGCUACACAACCAGCGAGCAUUUGCGUAACGUCAGAACUACAAACAUGUGGUGAAAGAAGAAAGAUUAUUGCAGCAAAAACAAUGCGGAAAACUCACAAAAAAAUACAUUUAUAUCAAUUUAGAAACUCACAUGGAUAUUAACAACACAAAAUGCCCAUGCACAGGAAGUUUACAUAGGCCAUUUGUAAGCCAAAUGCAAAGCGCAAACAAUGCAGUGGCGAUAAAGCACACACAGGCAGCGUGAAAGCAAGAAGAAGACGUGUGAAGACAGACAAACAAAUAUAAAUGGUUUUGUGGCUAAAUGUGGUGAAGGAAAUGGCAUUUUGUGGCAUGAAAAAUAAAAUCACAUUGUCGGAGUGGCAAUAAUGAAAUGGAGCUUGUCAAGUCAUUAAAUUCAGAGUAACACAAAAGAAACUGUGAAAAAAAAACCAAGUUUUUUGUAUUAUAUUGUAUUGUUUGACAUCAGCCAGUAGCUUGACAAGUUGGAUUUUUUUCCUUUUGAUUUCAGGUCGCUCAUCACGACGAAUGGAUAUCAAAUCUAUAAGCAUAAGCGGUGUAUCUGUUCGCACGACAGUCGGGUCUACGUAACCGGAACGGACCCGGAUUUUUUAUCCGGCCAAGGACUGUCAACUCUACAGAAUUCUGCCGCUACAAAAUGAAUUGAUUUCCAAUCGUUCAAAAUAUGAAGGUUGACGAUUUUUUAAUUGUUCGCUUAUAAAAGUGUUCGACUGAUUUUCCGUAUACGGUGUCGUAUAUAUGUAUAAAUAUCUAUUCGCUGUCUUCAUGAUUAUUCGAAGGUGUUUUUUGAAUGCAGGAUCCUGAACAGGAUGUAUUAAGUUUGCCAUGAACUUUGUAACCCCGUCAUUAGAGAUCUUAUAAAGAAAACUAACCAAUUAAAAUCAAGUUCUUAAAUGGCAAACUUUUUUAUUCGACAAGAUAUCUUUACGAAAUUUGGCAUGGACCAUCUUUCAUAGCAACGGUAGAAUUUCCGAAUAAAUUUUUCAGAUCGGACCACUUUACUCGUGGCCACGCAAACCUUACCAGUGAAUAUUCUAAUGAAUAUAACACACUUUUGAUUGUAUGUUUUGAAUGCGCGGAAACCAGCGGCUAAACCAUUUUGAACCAAGAAAAUGAGGCUUGCUCGUUUGAAUUGGACGAAAACGCACUGUAACUGGUCCUUGGAGUAGUAGAAAACGGUAAUAUGGUCGGAUGAAACCUGAUUUAAUUUGCACUGCAGCGACCAUUUACCGUAUGUCCCCCGAUUUCCGGGGGAACGUUUCGCCGAAAAUUGUAUGACGAGAACGGUUAAGCAUCCUGAAAACCAAAUGGUCUGGGCGUGCUUAUCUUUUUAUAUCCGAGGUCCUUUACUUUUUAUUGAUGAGAUGAUGAACGCUCAGAAGUAUCGGAAGGUUAUAUCCCAUUUUAUCGUGUCAGUCGUAGAACAAUAUGGGCAUAUUUUUAAGACCAUCUUUCAGGACGACUAAGCAACGUGUCAUCGAGCUAAAUCGGUUCAGAAAAUGUUUGCAGAUAUUGAGAUAUCGCAUAUGACAUGGCCAGGAAGUUCUCCCGAUUUGAGCCCGAUAGUAUAUCUUUGGCAUGCCAUGAACAUGAAAAUAGCUCAACACUGGCCAAGCUCAAAGACCGAACUGAAAAUAAUACAUAAUAAGGUGUGGGAGCAAGGAAUUUCAACCGAAUGCUUUAUGAUCGGUUUUUUGUAAAUCGCGAAAUUGGAAAGAAAUUUUUUAUUGUUGUAGCGACAUAAAACAAAAGAAAAAUCCAUUAGGAAUGUCAGUUCUUGGGCAGUGACAUCUAAAUGUAACUCUUUCUCUCUUUCUCUCUGAUUAGCCAUUAACACGUGCCAAAGUAAUCAAAUCAAACACUAUGAUACAAUGCUUUUAAACAUUUUAAUUAAAUAGUUUAGCCAAAUUCUUGGAUCUCAGUUAUUUUUUACCACACACUUCAUAAAAACAAUUUCCUUUUAUCUUUGUUGCCAACACGUUUUCAACAUGACAUUAUUAGGGGAUGUGCGAGAAUUGUAUGGCACAUUUGCAAACCAUUAACGACACUUGACUUUUCUGUAUGCAAAUUGCAAAUAUGCGAGACCAUUUGCACCAGAUUGUGAAUUGCCCUAAUAUGUUUGUAUGUAGUAAGUGCAUAUGGCCACGUUUGAGCGCCCGAUUGUCUCGUCUUACAAUCUCCAAGGACUGCGUGUAGCAUGUAAUCGGAUUUUAAAUGCAAAAGGGAGUGUAUUUCAAAAUUGUAAAAUUUUCAGCCCAAUUAAAUAUUUAUGUGUAAGCAGACACACAUGUGUUACAAAAAGAAGAAGAAAAAACGGAGGCAUGCAAAUGUUUUACUCCCAAAGGUAAAUGAGCAACAAAUGUUGGCAAUGUUGCAUGCACAGUUACAAUGAGGAAAUGAGGAUAUUGUGCAUUGCAAAUGAUGACGAUUUGUUAACCGCAUUAAGGAGACGAAAAAAACGCAACAGAUGCAAAAGAAUUUCAAUGUGCAGCAAGUGAUACCACGACCAAGCAAUUGCAGCAAGUAGGCCGGGCUAACGGCAAUAAAAGAUGGACAUCAACCGCAGCGGCAACAUGUGCAACAGACAACAGCAAUAUGUGAGGUUCCCAAUUGUUUAAAAUUAGAUGAAACCAUCAAAGAAAGCAAAUUUUACCAAAAAAACAAAGUACGCAAUUUUGCCAUUUGCGCGCAUAUUCAACUUUGUAGCUUCGUAGCAAGAAUGUGAGUUGAAAAAAAAACAAAAGUGAAGAACUCACAGUUGCACAGCAAGCAUAAUCAAAUAAGUGCAUAAGUGAAUUUGCGAGGCAACAAAAGGUUUAGCAACAGCAGGAAGCACUACACAUUCUUGCCCUGCCUUCGUUCAUUUUUUCCAAACGAUUCGCAGUCGGUGUACAUUAAAGGAUAAUAACCCACAGCCACAGGCAACCGAGCGCCCUCUUGAACGCUUGAACGUCCGCAGCAACCCCAUGGAAAUUUUGCGAAUGCCUACUGGCGACUAAUGUGUGGCACAUGCAUAUGCGUUGGCGCUCAACGCGCCGCAAACACACGCAGACGCACGCAUGCUUACAACUAAAUUGUUAUUGUUGCCACACGGCAUAUGCCGUUCGGUCAAAAGCGAAAGAAAACCGCCAACUGUCAGUGGACAAUGGCUAGUGUUUAAGUUGGUCAAUGCUCGCUGCUGCUGGUGCUUCGUGUGGAGUCACGAGAUGAAACGCGCCAGCGUCGCGUAGAAGGGAUGGAGGAGCAACGGCAAGCGGCAUGUGGCAUGCGAUAAUGCAAGGAAACAAAGGAAACUUCAAACAUUUGCACGUUUCGUUUAAGAGACGAUGAGCAAUGCGGCGAGUUGUCGUUGGACACACGCGUCACCCUUUUCGAACAGAGUUAAUAGUUACCUACUUACCACUUACUUCACUCCACGCGACUUGUUAACACACUUAACUUAGCCUUGUAGGUACUGGUCAUACGUUUGUUGUUGGCAGACAUUUAAAAGCUUAUUAUAUGUAUGUGCUGGGUUUCCUUUACAAAUUGAAGGGUCAUAAGCCUUUAAGUCUAAUUAAAUACUUGACUAAAAGGUUAUGUUAACAACUUCCUUUAAUUCCUUAUUUUAUAUUUUAAUCACAUGCAAGGAAAAGUGAGGUAUUGUGUAAGGCUUUAAGAGCGUGAGGCAAAGCUUUAAUGGCAUGCCAACGAAAUCUCUGCGUGCACGCGACCAAAAGAGAUAUUCAUUUAUGAAUAUGUAAAAAAUAGUAAUUUAUAUUAAAAAUAAUAAUUUCGAUUUUUUAAAUUGGAAUUCUUUCUUUAAAUGGAAACAGUAACGGAUUAGAUCUUGAAAAUUACAAAAAGAAAGAAAUUCAUAGUAGAUUUAAAACCAGAGAUAUCAACAUACAUACAAAGCAAACCAUACUAACCUUAAAAAGAACAGGAAAAAACGUUAACUUCGGCUGCACCGAAGCUAAUAUACCCUUCACAGGUGCAUUUUUUUUAGUAACUAUGUGUUCAGUUUGUAUGGAAGCUGUAUGCUAUAGUAAUCCGAUCUGAACAAUUUUUUCGGAGAUUAUAUUAUUACCUUAAGCAGUAAUCCAUGUCAAAUUUCGGGAAGAUACCACGUCAAAACGAAAGUUUCCCAUGCAAGCAUUCGAUUCCGAUCAUUCAGUUUGUAUGGCAGCUAUAUGCUAUAGUUAACCGAUCUGAACAAUUUCUUCGGAGAUUGCAUUGUUGCCUUAGAAAAUAAUCUAUACCAAAUUUUGUGAAAAUACAUUGUGA